rnacentral:rRNA from 1 species
UACGAGAGGCCCGAACGUUAUUCGGAAUCACUGGGCUUACAGAGUUCGUAGGCGGCGGAGAAAGUAGGGUGUGAAAGCCCUCGGCUUAACCGAGGAAUUGCGCUCUAAACUACUUCGCUCGAGGAGGAUAGAGGUGAGCAGAACUGAUGGUGGAGCGGUGAAAUGCGUUGAUAUCAUCAGGAAUACCGGAGGCGAAGGCGGCUCACUGGGUCCUUUCUGACGCUGAGGAACGAAAGCUAGGGUAGCGAACGGG